CCUACGGGAGGCUGCAGUGGGGAAUAUUGGGCAAUGGGCGCAAGCCUGACCCAGCAACGCCGCGUGAAGGAAGAAGGCUUUCGGGUUGUAAACUUCUUUUAAGAGGGAAGAGCAGAAGACGGUACCUCUUGAAUAAGCCACGGCUAACUACGUGCCAGCAGCCGCGGUAAUACGUAUGGUGCAAGCGUUAUCCGGAUUUACUGGGUGUAAAGGGAGCGCAGGCGGCGCGUUAAGCCUGGUGUGAAAGCCCGCGGCCCAACCGCGGGACUGCAUUGGGAACUGGCGCGCUGGAGUGCCGGAGGGGUAGGCGGAAUUCCUAGUGUAGCGGUGAAAUGCGUAGAUAUUAGGAGGAACACCAGUGGCGAAGGCGGCUUACUGGACUGUAACUGACGUUGAGGCUCGAAGGCGUGGGGAGCAAACAGGAUUAGAUACCCUUGUAGUC
rnacentral:rRNA from 1 species